rnacentral:rRNA from 1 species
UAUGUGAUCGUCUCUCGCAUAUCAAUAAGCGGAGGAAAAGAAACUAACAAGGAUUCCCCUAGUAACGGCGAGUGAAGCGGGAAGAGCUCAAAUUUGAAAUCUUAAAGGGUUUCCCUUUACGAAUUGUAGUUUAAAGAAGUGUUUUCUGUUGAGGUUUUGGUAAAAGUUCUUUGGAAUAGGACAUCAUAGAGGGUGAGAAUCCCGUAUUUGACCUUUACUUUCAACUUUGUGAUACACUUUCAAAGAGUCGGAUUGUUUGGGAAUGCAGUCCAAAAUAGGGUGGUAAAUUUCAUCUAAAGCUAAAUAUUGGCGAGAGACCGAUAGCGAACAAGUACCGUGAGGGAAAGAUGAAAAGAACUUUGAAAAGAGAGUUAAACAGUACGUGAAAUUGUCAAAAGGGAAGCGUUUGACACCAGUGUUGUUUUUCUGAAAAUCAAUUAAAGAACUGUUUAUGCUAAGCUGUUUAGACUUUAUCAGCUAUCUGUUUAGUUUUGAGCUUUUCUUUAAUGCACUUUUCAGUUAACAAGUCAACAUCAAUUUCUUUUGCUGUAAAAAAGCUUGAGGAAGGUGGCUUGAGAUUCGUCUUAAGUGUUUAUAGCCUCUUGCCUAUGCAGUCGGAGAGAUUGAGGUCUGCAGCGUAGAUCCUUCGGGGCUAAAUGCAUUUGUGCUAAGUUAUAGCAUUUUAUAGACAACUUGUUGACUAUGAUUUGUCUUGUAGCUUACUCGCUUAUGUUAUUUUACCUACGCUUAGGAUGUUGAACGCGCACAGAGUCUC